UGCCUUUCCUUUUGGUAACAGCAGAAUAAUCAAACAAACACUGGAGGUUUCACUGGUUCCCAGAUCAACAAAACCCCAUUUUCCAGUGGGAGAACAUGCAAUCCAUGGAACUUUCAGCUGGCUGUGCUGCUGCCUGCUAUUUCCAGUUGCCUUCCCAUGAUAUGGUGUGCACAUCCUGAAGACGUGCCUUCAUCAACCCUUUCAUACAGUAGAUUGAGCUGCCAAUCAUCAGAUGACCUGAAGAGAAAAGAGGAGACAAAGAAGCUGAAGAAAACUCUGGAUGCCUCUGGAGGCUUAGGGCUGUGGAAAAUCUGAUUUCUGUGUUAAAAUAAGAACUCACCGAAGCAAGUGACGUGGAAGUGCACACAUCAUUACACAGGCAGGGAAACAGGGAAGGAAAAUGUUAGCUCACAUUCUGAGCCCUGCAGAGCAGUUUGCCUGUGAUUUCCUUCUCUUUUCUUGUGUACCUGACUCAUCUUGGGGAUGUGUGGAAGGACACAACCAGGAGGAUUUCAUCCAGUGUGAUGGGAAGUGAUUGAAGAUGGA